rnacentral:rRNA from 1 species
GUUAGAAACCACUGCCCUAAAGGUACCUGUUCUCAUCUGAUCUUGGAAGCUAAGCAGGAUUAGCCCUGGUUAGUACUUGGAUAGGUGACUGUCAAUGAAUACCAGGUGCUGUGGGCU